rnacentral:rRNA from 1 species
GUGGCGAACGGGUGAGUAACACGUGGGCAAUCUGCCCUGCACUCUGGGACAAGCCCUGGAAACGGGGUCUAAUACCGGAUAUGACCGUCUGCCGCAUGGUGGAUGGUGUAAAGCUCCGGCGGUGCAGGAUGAGCCCGCGGCCUAUCAGCUUGUUGGUGAGGUAGUGGCUCACCAAGGCGACGACGGGUAGCCGGCCUGAGAGGGCGACCGGCCACACUGGGACUGAGACACGGCCCAGACUCCUACGGGAGGCAGCAGUGGGGAAUAUUGCACAAUGGGCGAAAGCCUGAUGCAGCGACGCCGCGUGAGGGAUGACGGCCUUCGGGUUGUAAACCUCUUUCAGCAGGGAAGAAGCGAAAGUGACGGUACCUGCAGAAGAAGCGCCGGCUAACUACGUGCCAGCAGCCGCGGUAAUACGUAGGGCGCAAGCGUUGUCCGGAAUUAUUGGGCGUAAAGAGCUCGUAGGCGGCUUGUCACGUCGGUUGUGAAAGCCCGGGGCUUAACCCCGGGUCUGCAGUCGAUACGGGCAGGCUAGAGUUCGGUAGGGGAGAUCGGAAUUCCUGGUGUAGCGGUGAAAU